CUGGCGCGCUCUUGCGGGCCGCCUUAGUGGCCAGCUGCUUGCGCGGUGCCUUGCCGCCGGUGGACUUCCGAGCAGUCUGCUUAGUACGAGCCAUCACAAGAGAGUGAUCAGAAACCAAAUGUCUGCUACAAGUGCGAUCCGAAGGAAUUUGUGGGCAUUCACCCCAGCAAGGUGGUCAUCACCAGGCUAAAACUGGACAAAGAUCGGAAAAAAAUUCUUGAACGCAAAGCCAAAUCUCGACAGGUUGGGAAAGAGAAAGGAAAAUAUAAGGAGGAACUUAUUGAGAAAAUGCAGGAAUGAAUAUACCCUGUUGCACAACCAUGGUUUAUCUGUAGGUUUUUUACCUGGCAUGUAGGCGUUUAAAACUUUUCAAGAUGUCUCUCUCUCUCAAGUAUUUUAUUUCCUUCCUGUUUUGUUAUUAUUAUUUAUGUGGUUCUGUAAAUCCACUUCUGCUGUUUUGAUUAAUAAUUUUAUGAAUAAAAAUUGGAAAUGUUAAAAAA